rnacentral:rRNA from 1 species
CCUACGGGUGGCAGCAGUGGGGAAUAUUGCACAAUGGGGGAAACCCUGAUGCAGCGACGCCGCGUGAGUGAAGAAGUAAUUCGUUACGUAAAGCUCUAUCAGCAGGGAAGAAAUACUGACCUUACGGUCAGCAGACGGUACCUGAGUAAGAAGCCCCGGCUAACUACGGGCCAUCAGCCGCGGGAAUACGUAGGGGGCAAGCGUUAUCCGGAUUUACGGGGUGUAAAGGGGGCGUAGACGGUGCGCCAAGUCUGGAGUGAAAUGCCGCAGCUUAACUGCGGAACCGCUUUGGAAUCUGGCGAACUAGAGUGCGGGAGGGGUAAGCGGAAUUCCUAGUGUAGCGGUGAAAUACGUAGAUAUUAGGAGGAACACCGGUGGCGAAGGCGGCUUACUGGACCGUAACUGACGUUGAGGCUCGAAAGCGUGGGGAGCAAACAGGAUUAGAUACCCCAGUAGUC